rnacentral:rRNA from 1 species
GUCUAUGGCCAUGCCACCCUGAACAUGUCCGAUCUUGUCUGAUCUCAGAAGCUAAUAGGGUCGGGCCUGGUUAGUACUUGGAUGGGAGACCACCUAGGAAGACCAGGUGCUGUAGGCA